GAUUAACGCUAGCGGCAGGCAUAAUACAUGCAAGUUGAACGGCAGCACAGGUAGCAAUACUGGGUGGCGAGUGGCGCACGGGUGCGUAACACGUAUGCAACCUACCCUAUACAGGCGAAUAACCUUUAGAAAUGAGGGCUAAUACGCCGUAGUAUUACAGAUGGGCAUCUAUUUGUAAUUAAAGAUUUAUCGGUAUAGGAUGGGCAUGCGUCCCAUUAGUUAGUUGGUAAGGUAACGGCUUACCAAGACGAUGAUGGGUAGGGGAUCUGAGAGGACUUACCCCCACACUGGUACUGAGACACGGACCAGACUCCUACGGGAGGCAGCAGUAAGGAAUAUUGGGCAAUGGCCGCGAGGCUGACCCAGCCAUGCCGCGUGCAGGAAGACGGCCUUAUGGGUUGUAAACUGCUUUUAUACGGGAAUAAUAGAGUGUACGCGUACAUUUAUGCAAGUAUCGUAUGAAUAAGCAUCGGCUAACUCCGUG
rnacentral:rRNA from 1 species